rnacentral:rRNA from 1 species
AAACUUUCAACAACGGAUCUCUUGGUUCCCACAUCGAUGAAGAACGCAGCGAAAUGCGAUAAGUAAUGUGAAUUGCAGAAUUCAGUGAAUCAUCGAAUCUUUGAACGCACAUUGCGCCCCCUGGUAUUCCGGGGGCAUGCCUGUUCGAGCGUCAUA